rnacentral:rRNA from 1 species
UACAGGGGGCGCGAGCGUUGCUCGGAUUUACUGGGCGUAAAGCGUGCGCAGGUGGCCUGGCAAGUCGGGUGUGAAAGCCCGGGGCUCAACUCCGGAAUUGCAUUCGAUACUGCCAAGCUUGAAUACGGGAGAGGGAAGCGGAAUUCCUGGUGUAGAGGUGAAAUUCGUAGAUAUCAGGAGGAACACCAGUGGCGAAAGCGGCUUCCUGGCCCGAUAUUGACGCUCAUGCACGAAAGCGUGGGGAGCAAACAGG